rnacentral:lncRNA from 1 species
CUCGGAAAUAGAUUUUUAUUGUUAUUUAUAAAGUGUAUUGUGUUUGUUUUUAUUUGUUUUUAUAUGAUUUGUCAGUGCAUUUGAUCAUUGGGUUUUUUCAUCCUGUUUGAUUUUUUACAAGACGUCAUAGAUCACACAUUUUUGCUAUUGCUACUUUCACUAUGACGACAUUAUCAAAGACAUGAUAUAUAACUAUGGAAUCGCGUGAUUGAUGUGCAGUGUCCAUUGAAUUCUUUGUUUAUCCUAGGAUGCUUUAUGUUUACCC